rnacentral:lncRNA from 1 species
UGAGACCCCGUGAAAAGUGGAGCUGAGGAUAGAGGAGAUGACAGUACUGUAUUCACAUCCUGUCUCUUCCUUUUAAUAAUGAAGCAAAUACCUAGGAGAGAAAUCAGCUCAACUCAGCACUUAAACCAAGGGACCAGCACUCCAUAUGGCACAGUUAGAGAAUUCCUUCUAGGAUGGUGAAAUAUAUGUGUCAACAUGGCUGGGCCAUGGUGCAUAGGCAGGGGGUCCAGGAGAAUUAUGGAUGUCUCCAUGAUGCUCCAGGAUGCUUCUUGCAGGAGAUUCACAUUUAAAUUGGUGCCCACUGGAUAAAGUGUAGGCUUCCAUACUGUGGGGGCCUCACCCUGUCAGCUGAAUGCCUGACUAGGGCAGACUGGUCUCCCUCAAACAGAAAAGAAUCCUGCAAGCAGACAGCCUUUGGACUCUGAUUGAAUCUUUUCCUGGGUCUACAACCUACCUCCCUGUCUUGCAGAUUUUGGAUUUACAAAACCUCCACAAUGACACAAAUAGAUGCUUUGAAAGGAAUCUCGUGUGUUUAUAUACAAGUCCUGAUGGUUCUGGUUCUCUGGAGAACUCUGGCCCCUAUGUCUAUCUUCUAGGUGACAUAUUAGAGCAGAAGGGUGACAGAAGAUUAGAAAGAAAUAUUGGAGAAGCAGCUACAGCUACCAAAACACUUUGUGGAGACCUGCUCAAAGACGGGAAGAAGAUGGGAUCAGCCUAUGGCUCAAUGCUCUAAUGGAACUUCCAGAAAUGAGACACACGGUAACUGGAUAAAAUACACUGGGAGCUAGUACAAGCAGAGAGGAAGGAAUCUGAAAACCAGUGCUGUCUGAUCAUGGUUUCCUCUGUACCUGAGUUUUCUGUAAAGAGACAGAUGCUGGUGGUGCCUAAAAUACAUCCACUUUAAACAUCUUUCCAAAAUGUGUCUCUAAGUAAAGACUUUCUCAUUUAUUCUUAUUUCAUCACAGCUACUCUGAAGC